UUGCAGUUGGGAUAACCUGGCCACCACCUCUGUGAAUAGCAUCAGCAUGGAGAACAACAUCACAAACCUCAAAGCAAAUUCCUCGCAUGUUUUCCUCACAUAAAGCACCUUCCUUUGAUGCCCACUGGAAACCGGCAACAACAGAAUCCUUAAUUUCAUUAAGGUACUGUACUCCCUUACACAUAUCAACCACCAUAUUUGGACCAGUAGUCUCGGGACCAAAACACCAGAUUUUCUUUGCAAGAUCUUUGUCCCAGCCAAACUCUUCAGACAAAAUUUUGGAUCGGAUCUUAGGAUCAUCCC
rnacentral:lncRNA from 1 species